UGGGGAAUAUUGCGCAAUGGGGGAAACCCUGACGCAGCGACGCCGUGUGAGGGAAGAAGGCUUUCGGGUCGUAAACCUCUGUCAGGAAGGAAGAACCUCUCAAGGCUGAACAAGCCUUGGGACUGACGGUACUUCCAGAGGAAGCACCGGCUAACUCCGUGCCAGCAGCCGCGGUAAUACGGGGGGUGCAAGCGUUAAUCGGAAUCACUGGGCGUAAAGCGCGCGUAGGCCGUCUUUUAAGUCGGACGUGAAAGCCCUCGGCUCAACCGGGGAACUGCGUUCGAUACUGGGAGACUUGAGUCCUGGAGAGGGUGGCGGAAUUCCGGGUGUAGGAGUGAAAUCCGUAGAUAUCCGGAGAAACACCGGUGGCGGAGGCGGCCACCUGGACAGGUACUGACGCUGAGGCGCGAAAGCGUGGGG
rnacentral:rRNA from 1 species